rfam:Chryseobacterium gleum ATCC 35910 genomic scaffold SCAFFOLD1, whole genome shotgun sequence.
ACGGCAGCAUCCGAAAAGCCAUCAAAAAGAGUAGGAA